AUCUUUGGAGGAAAGUGUUAUACCGUGAGGGAGAAAGAAUCCUUCAUUUUCACCUUUUUUAUUUUUCAAUCCUCUUUUUUUUUAAUCGAUGGAGAGGUUAUGUGGAUUAUCAUGGUGUAUGUGGUUUAUCUUUUUGUGACUUUUUGAUUUGCAGCUUUUUUUAAUUCUUAUGGUGACCAUUUGGGCAGUUUUGCUUGCAUAAUUGUGUUGGAAUUACACCCAAAACUUGGAGAAUUCUGAAUCAAUCUUGACGAACAAGAAUCAGUUCUUCUGAUUGAU
rnacentral:lncRNA from 1 species